rnacentral:rRNA from 1 species
GAUGAACGCUAGCGGCAGGCUUAACACAUGCAAGUCGAGGGGCAGCAUAAUGGAUAGCAAUAUCUAUGGUGGCGACCGGCGCACGGGUGCGUAACGCGUAUGCAACCUACCUUUAACAGGGGGAUAACACUGAGAAAUUGGUACUAAUACUCCAUAAUAUCAUAGAAGGCAUCUUUUAUGGUUGAAAAUUCCGGUGGUUAGAGAUGGGCAUGCGUUGUAUUAGCUAGUUGGUGGGGUGACGGCUCACCAAGGCGACGAUACAUAGGGGGACUGAGAGGUUAACCCCCCACACUGGUACUGAGACACGGACCAGACUCCUACGGGAGGCAGCAGUGAGGAAUAUUGGUCAAUGGACGCAAGUCUGAACCAGCCAUGCCGCGUGCAGGAUGACGGCUCUAUGAGUUGUAAACUGCUUUUGUACGAGGGUAAACGCAGAUACGUGUAUCUGUCUGAAAGUAUCGUACGAAUAAGGAUCGGCUAACUCCGUG